ACGUAGGGCGCAAGCGUUGUCCGGAAUUAUUGGGCGUAAAGAGCUCGUAGGCGGUUUGUCGCGUCUGCUGUGAAAACGCGAGGCUCAACCUCGCGCCUGCAGUGGGUACGGGCAGACUAGAGUGCGGUAGGGGAGACUGGAAUUCCUGGUGUAGCGGUGGAAUGCGCAGAUAUCAGGAGGAACACCGGUGGCGAAGGCGGGUCUCUGGGCCGUAACUGACGCUGAGGAGCGAAAGCAUGGGGAGCGAACAG
rnacentral:rRNA from 1 species